CAAUAGCGUAUAUUUAAGUUGUUGCAGUUAAAAAGCUCGUAGUUGGAUUUCGGGUUGGCUUCAGCGGUCUCGCUUUGCGUUUGUACUGCUGCAGCCUACCUUCUUGUCGGGGACGGGCCUUCGGGCUUAAUUGCUUGGGGCCCGGAGUCGACGAUGUUACUUUGAGUAAAUUAGAGUGUUCAAAGCAAGCCUACGCUCUGAAUAUAAUACCAUGGGAUAACACGACAGGACUCUGGCCUAUCGUGUUGGUCUGUAGGACCAGAGUAAUGAUUAAGAGGGACAGUCGGGGGCAUUCGUAUUCCGUUGUCAGAGGUGAAAUUCUUGGAUUUACGGAAGACGAACAUCUGCGAAAGCAUUUGCCAAGGAUGUUUUCAUUGA
rnacentral:rRNA from 1 species